rnacentral:rRNA from 1 species
CCUACGGGAGGCUGCAGUGGGGAAUAUUGGACAAUGGGGGCAACCCUGAUCCAGCCAUGCCGCGUGUGUGAAGAAGGCCCUCGGGUUGUAAAGCACUUUCAGUGAGGAAGAACGCCUGGUGGUUAAUACCCAUCAGGAAAGACAUCACUCACAGAAGAAGCACCGGCUAACUCCGUGCCAGCAGCCGCGGUAAUACGGAGGGUGCGAGCGUUAAUCGGAAUUACUGGGCGUAAAGCGCGCGUAGGUGGCUUGAUAAGCCGGUUGUGAAAGCCCCGGGCUCAACCUGGGAACGGCAUCCGGAACUGUCAAGCUAGAGUGCAGGAGAGGAAGGUAGAAUUCCCGGUGUAGCGGUGAAAUGCGUAGAGAUCGGGAGGAAUACCAGUGGCGAAGGCGGCCUUCUGGACUGACACUGACACUGAGGUGCGAAAGCGUGGGUAGCAAACAGGAUUAGAUACCCUAGUAGUA